UACGGAGGGUGCAAGCGUUGUUCGGAAUCACUGGGCGUAAAGGGCGUGUAGGCGGGUCGUUAAGUCAGGGGUGAAAUCCUGGAGCUCAACUCCAGAACUGCCCUUGAUACUGGCGAUCUCGAGUUCGGGAGAGGUGAGUGGAACUGCGAGUGUAGAGGUGAAAUUCGUAGAUAUUCGCAAGAACACCAGUGGCGAAGGCGGCUCACUGGCCCGAUACUGACGCUGAGGUGCAAAAGCGUGGGGAGCAAACAGG
rnacentral:rRNA from 1 species